AUUCUGUGGUGAGGGCACUUUCGUAAUAAUUCUUUCUACCUUUCCCAUGCCUUACACAAGGACUCAUCAUCUAUUUGUUGGAAAGGGGUGAUCUCGUUCCUUAACUU
rfam:Gossypium arboreum cultivar AKA8401 contig_11959_3, whole genome shotgun sequence.